GAAAAUGAUAAUUUAAACCAGCUUUCAAUUCCUGCUCCUCAUCUCUUAGUUGCUUUGUGAUUUAUGUCUUAAGCCUUCCCCUUCAUGUCCAGCUACCAAUCAAGGCUUUUGUGAUAAAAAAAAAAAAAGGGAAAAAAAGUGUUUGAGACAGAGGACGGAAUUGCAUAUUUACCUUGGCAGCCUAUCUUAACAUUUUGUUGAUUUUCAAAUGUGUUGGUAGAACAUCGAUUUCUGAUCGAAUCUGAUCUGAUCAAACCCCUUUCUAUUUAUCUAGAAACAACACACACACAGACUUACAGACAUUGCUUCAUGAGUUGCAUGGAAUUGUGUGUAAACAAUCUAUAUCAUUUUGGACAUCUUCAUUGUUGUUCUUGCUGGACAACCUGUGGCGAUUGUAAUUUAACCAAACAACCAGCACCUGGAUAUUAAAGUUAGCCAACACUUCCACAACAACAUUCACAGUGUCAAAAGUUGAGUUCAGCUGGUUAGUAGUUAAAAUUGUUAAAUGGUUAAAAUCGCAAAACAUCCUCAUUUAGGAUUUGAACACGGGACGAAUAGCACUUAGUGGGUUAGUCGAACCCCUUAGCCAGCUACAUAAUUAUCAGUUAUUGGUGUUGUUUUUUUUAUUUUUAUUUUAUUGUGCUAUUUGUAUGCAUCAUUGAUUUGUUUUGGGGGGUUUUUAGGCUCUGUUGGCUCAGGCUAUAAUUCAUCCUUUCUUAAUGUAGUACAUGAGAAUACACAGAUGCCAGCCAUUUCUUUUCCAUCCCCCAAAUCCCGAACUUUAUACACCAAGGACACCUGCCACCUACCUCCAAAACAACCCUCCCUGUAUCAUCCACAUUUAAGCACAAUAAAUACUUGGUAAUGUUGCUUAUACCUCAUCCUUCAACCACAAAGAUGACAAUUUAAGAAUUAUUUGAAAAAGCCAAACCGCACACCUUAAAUUGAUUGCCAUAGAAUAUUUUGCAAAUAAUGUAUUUUGUUCAACAAUACCUUUAACAAUACCAAGACCUCACACUUCAUAAAAACCUUCCAGUCUCAAAACCUCAGACUUGUACUAGAGCAUAAAAGUAUAUCUUGAAUCAAUAAAUCAGUCCUAUUCUCUUUCAAUUCCCUUUUAUUUUAUUCUUAUUCUGGUGUCUUCUUUCUUUCUCAUAGCCUUUUUUCUCUUUUCUGGCCUGUUUUAUUGCAUGGCUUAUACCUACGGUUUUCUGUAGGCAAAACAUUAUUUUAUGCAACUGAAUUCCCAUAGUUUUCAAGUCGUGCAUAAACAACCAUCUAAGUCUAGGGCAGGGCUUGUAUUACUCCAAGUUCUCUUUGUUCUCUAACUGUCAAUUCUAUGCGUAUUCCCUCCCCUUUCCUCUCUGUUUUUUCUGACUAUUUUGAUAAUAUUUGCCAUUUGCCAUGAAAAGAACUGCAGAACGCAAGGCAGUCCUUAAACCACAUAGCCUAGACUUCAGAGAUUUUAUUAAGACACCUUGCUUUAUUCAGAUUCAUUCACUUUCCUGCGCGUUUGAAAGAUGGCAUGCUACACAGGCAAGGAAGCUCUACAGAUGGUGCUGGAUAGUGAUGAAGGGUUCACAUUUUCCUCAGAAGAAGAGUGGGACUCCGACAUGAAUGUUUACAUUUUGAAGAGCGACUAGAUCUAACCGAGGAUACAAUUCCAGAUGAGCUUAAUUCUGGUCUCAUCAGACCAAGGAAGUGGAGGAGCCAUUACCGUCUGCCAAGGGUCGGAGAACUCGCUGCCAUCUGCCAGGAAAGGAUUGGCUGCCAUCCGUCAGAGGGUGGAGGAGUGGCUGAGGACCAGGCGAUGGUGUUUCCAGGGAAGUUUUUCUCUCUCUCUCCUCUCUCUCUCUCUGUCUCUCCCCCUUGCUCUUUCCCUCACCCCUCCCCUUGUCUCUCCCAGGGCUCCAGAGAGGCGGGGAAGACCUGCCAGCUGAAGAAUGGCCGGAAGGGCAACACCUCUUCUCCAGGAAGGGAGGGGAGUACGUCAUGCCUGAGGUUUCCCCCGGCCUGAAACGGGCGGUUGAGGAGAGUGAGGGCCGUGAGGACGCACGCCCAGCACUGAAUUGGACUAAUCAGCUGAGAGGGGGAUAAAUACGAGCCAGAAGCGCCAGUUCGAGAGAGAGAGAGACACGCAGCCGCUGUGUGUGUGUCUAUGUUUGUUUAAGUUAAUUUAUGUCAUUAAAGUUAUGUU